GAGAAAACAUGCCCCUAAGACUCCCUCCACCAUCAAGCAGAGCACAUUACUGAAGACAGUGUCUCAAAAAUCCAUCGACAAAGCUGUGGUGAAGUAUGUGGUCCAGGGGCUCCAACCAUUCGCUUUUGUAGAACAAGAACCGUUCAGAGAGUUUGUCCAGGAUCUGCAGCCUAACUCAAAGAUCUUAUCAAGGCCCACACUGGGCUCCAGGAUUAAUGAAGCCUCCACGGAAAUGAAGAAGAAGGUGACUGAGGCCAUGAGAGGAGUUGACCGCAUCGCCACCACCACCGACUGCUGGUCUGCAAGAAGACGGAGCUUCAUUGGUGUCACAGCCCACUGGAUAGACCCUGACAGUCUCAACAGAUGCUCUGCAGCCCUGGCCUGUCAACGGUUGAGGGGAUCGCACACCUUUGAUGUGUUGGCAGGCGCCCUAAAUGACAUCCAUUCUGAUUUUGAAAUCCGGAGUAAGAUUGUGAGAACAGCAACAGACAACGGCUCUAACUUCUUGAAAGCUUUCCAAGUUUUUGGAGAAGAUGAAAACAACGAGGCAGUGGAAGCAGUGGGUGGUGAAGCAGCUCAGCCAACAAGGCAGUGGAAGCAGUGGGGGGUGUAGCAGCUCAGCCAACGAGGCAGUGGAAGCAGUGGGUGGUGAAGCAGCUCAGCCAACGUGGCAGUGGAAGCAGUGGGUGGUGAAGCAGCUCAGCCAACGUGGCAGUGGAAGCAGUGGGUGGUGAAGCAGCUCAGCCAGGACAGGAAGAUGGUGAAGAGGAACAAGAGAAGAGUGAAGAAGUGGAGUUUGUUGAUGUGGCAACGAUCCUGAAUGAAGAUGAUGGUUUUGAGUACCAGCUGCCGAAGCACCAGCGCUGUGCUUGCCACCUACUCAACUUAGUAUCUACAGUCGAUGCCCUGAAAGCAACAUCCAGUGAGGCUUACAAAAAAAGUGUCCCGUUCAACAUUUGGCAAGUGCCAAGCACUUUGGAACAAAUGCGGAAGAUCCGCAGCCGAAACGGUUGAAGAUGCUUGCGACCUCCAGCUGCUGCGCCCGACUGCUACAAGGUGGAACUCCUGGUUCAUGGCUGUAGAAAGACUCCUGAGGAUCGUCAAAGACAAAAGGAGAGGCGGCCGUCAGAGUUCUCUGCACAGACUUCGAGGUUCCAAUAGUAUGCUGCCUCCAUGAUCCCAGUCACAAAGCAAAUCAACAUCCUGCAGGCUGAAACCAAUGUCCAGAUGGGGUGGCUACUUCCAACUAUCAACCUGCUGAUCACAAAACUUGACAGAAUCAAGUUGUCCCUGAAGCGCUUCAGCCACACGUUUUCACGACCCUGAGCUGAUCGCAGCUGCAAUCCUUUUCCCCAAAUUCACAACAACGUGGACAAAGGAUGACGCCGCCACACGGAAUGGGAUUGGACUACAUCAAGGACCACCUGAAAGAACCCUUGCUGCAGCUAGGUGAUGGCAGCAGUUCAUCAGAUGAGGAGGACUUCUUCUCUGCAAUGAAGACACUAGAAAGCUCCAAACAGCUUGACGGAUACCUGGCCUGUUCAGCUGAUCAUAUGGAGUGGCUCAAGUCCUUCCCGGCAGUCUGUAAGCUGUCUCUGAGGCUAAACACACCCUUACCUGCAUCAGCUGCAUGUGAAAGGCUGUUCGGCAUUGCAGGACUUGUUUUCAGCCGCAGGAGAGCAAGGCUGGAUUCCAGAAACGUUGAUUAUUCAACUUCAAGUGAUGACAGCUUAACGCUAGCAAGCCCAAGGACAGGGAUGCCUUUAUGCGUUUUGUUAAUUUACAGUGGGGAGAACA